CGCUAGCUACAGGCUUAACACAUGCAAGUCGAGGGUCAGCAUUUUAGUUUGCUUGCAAACUGAAGAUGGCGACCGGCGCACGGGUGAGUAACACGUAUCCAACCUGCCGAUAACUCCGGGAUAGCCUUUCGAAAGAAAGAUUAAUACCGGAUAGUAUACGAAUAUCGCAUGAUAUUUUUAUUAAAGAAUUUCGGUUAUCGAUGGGGAUGCGUUCCAUUAGUUUGUUGGCGGGGUAACGGCCCACCAAGACUACGAUGGAUAGGGGUUCUGAGAGGAAGGUCCCCCACAUUGGAACUGAGACACGGUCCAAACUCCUACGGGAGGCAGCAGUGAGGAAUAUUGGUCAAUGGGCGCGAGCCUGAACCAGCCAAGUAGCGUGAAGGAUGAAGGCUCUAUGGGUCGUAAACUUCUUUUAUAUGGGAAUAAAGCUUUCCACGUGUGGAAUUUUGUAUGUACCAUAUGAAUAAGGAUCGGCUAACUCCGUGCCAGCAGCCGCGGUAAUACGGAGGAUCCGAGCGUUAUCCGGAUUUAUUGGGUUUAAAGGGAGCGUAGGUGGAUUGUUAAGUCAGUUGUGAAAGUUUGCGGCUCAACCGUAAAAUUGCAGUUGAAACUGGCAGUCUUGAGUACAGUAGAGGUGGGCGGAAUUCGUGGUGUAGCGGUGAAAUGCUUAGAUAUCACGAAGAACUCCGAUUGCGAAGGCAGCUCACUAGACUGUCACUGACACUGAUGCUCGAAAGUGUGGGUAUCAAACAGGAUUAGAUACCCUGGUAGUCCACACAGUAAACGAUGAAUACUCGCUGUUUGCGAUAUACAGUAAGCGGCCAAGCGAAAGCAUUAAGUAUUCCACCUGGGGAGUACGCCGGCAACGGUGAAACUCAAAGGAAUUGACGGGGGCCCGCACAAGCGGAGGAACAUGUGGUUUAAUUCGAUGAUACGCGAGGAACCUUACCCGGGCUUAAAUUGCAACAGAAUAUAUUGGAAACAGUAUAGCCGUAAGGCUGUUGUGAAGGUGCUGCAUGGUUGUCGUCAGCUCGUGCCGUGAGGUGUCGGCUUAAGUGCCAUAACGAGCGCAACCCUUAUCUUUAGUUACUAACAGGUUAUGCUGAGGACUCUAGAGAGACUGCCGUCGUAAGAUGUGAGGAAGGUGGGGAUGACGUCAAAUCAGCACGGCCCUUACGUCCGGGGCUACACACGUGUUACAAUGGGGGGUACAGAAGGCGGCUACCUGGUGACAGGAUGCUAAUCCCAAAAACCUCUCUCAGUUCGGAUCGAAGUCUGCAACCCGACUUCGUGAAGCUGGAUUCGCUAGUAAUCGCGCAUCAGCCAUGGCGCGGUGAAUACGUUCCCGGGCCUUGUACACACCGCCCGUCAAGCCAUGAAAGCCGGGGGUACCUGAAGUACGUAACCGCAAGGAGCGUCCUAGGGUAAAACUGGUAAUU
rnacentral:rRNA from 1 species